rnacentral:lncRNA from 1 species
UGAAAUUAAAUACGAAUACAAGGACAUCUUAUCAAGGGUACAACAGCCAUAUGUUAUUCUAUCGAAAUAUAUAAGCACCCGUACGCCUAAACAACCUGCAACAUGUAUAUAUACUAGCUAGCCAUAAGCCAUGCAUGCAUAUAUAAUACUAAAGCCUACUAGUACUAAUAUGAAAUAAACUCGCUAGUUUAGGGUUUCAAACAGGCCUGUAUAUAAUUAGGGUUUGUGUGUGUGUUUGUGUGUAUGCUAAUGCAGAAUUGAUUAAGCUGCUGGAGCAUAGUAUCCACCUCCAUCAUCAUCGUCAUCAUCAUCAUCGUCACCAUCACUUUCGCUGCUGAGAAGGUAGGUCCUGAAGGAAACAUCAUCUUCACGAUCUACAUGAUGAUGAUCUGCUGCAAACCCUAACAAGUGAAUAUUGGAGUACUUGACCAGAACUAACACCUCCAUAGGUAUAUUUGUCUAAGAAGUUAAUUAUCACUUCAAAGUGGGAGUGGGAGUGAUGAUCGAUCAGUAUGUUGUUGAUCAAUAUUUUGGUGAAGAAGUGAAUUAAGAAGAGGUUUUGAUGAAGGAAAGGGUACAAUAAGUGAG